rnacentral:rRNA from 1 species
CAAUAGCGUAUAUUAAAGUUGUUGCAGUUAAAAAGCUCGUAGUUGGAUUUGUGGCGUACGGUGUGUUCCGGGCACUUGUUGUCUGAGUAACCUGCUGUUGCCUUCCUUGGGUGGAACCUGUGUGGCAUUAGGUUGUCGUGCAGGGGAUGCCCAUCAUUUACUGUGAAAAAAUUAGAGUGUUCAAAGCAGGCUUAUGCCGUUGAAUAUAUUAGCAUGGAAUAAUGAGAUAGGACUUUUUUGCUAUUUUGUUGGUUUGCGCAAAGAGGUAAUGAUUAAUAGGGACAGUUGGGGGUAUUCGUAUUCCAUUGUCAGAGGUGAAAUUCUUGGAUUUUUGGAAGACGAACUACUGCGAAAGCAUUUACCAAGGAUGUUUUCAUUAA